UUCACAUGCCUUCUAAUCUCUUAAAAAUAAUUUAUCUUUCAGCGACAAAGCUGUCAAGUCCGAUAUAUUUUUCAAAGUGUUUAUUUCUGCUCACGCAUUCAAUUAUUGAAUGACAAAACUGUCAAGUCUUAUAUAUUUGUCAAAGUGUUUAUUUAUGAUCACUAUUCAAGUAUUCAAAUAAGCAUUCUUUACUGAAUUUCCAGUUUAAUAUUCAGGUAAUCAAAACCAGCCCGAUAUAGGACUCGAACCCAUGGCCCUCAGAUUAAAAGUCUGAUGCUCUACCAACUGAGCUAACCGGGCACCUAUGCAAGUGUUGUGAAAUUAACGAAUCAAUGUUUUUUAUCCUAUGAAUAAUUUUUGAUUCAACGACAAUGGAAGCAGGUCGAAAGUAACCUUCUCGUUAGGAGAUGGAUUAAAAAAUAUUUUUACGAACGUAUUUUUUUGAAAAUUUCACAUGCCUUCUAAUCUCUUAAAAAUAAUUUAUCUUUCAGCGACAAAGCUGUCAAAUCCGAUAUGUUUUUCAAAGUGUUUAUUUCUGCUCACGCAUUCAAUUAUUGAACGACAAAGCUGUCAAGUCCGAUAUGUUUUUCAAAGUGUUUAUUUCUGCUCACGCAUUCAAUUAUUGAACGACAAAGCUGUCAAGUCCGAUAUAUUUUUCAAAGUGUUUAUUUCUGCUCACGCAUUCAAUUAUUGAACGACAAAGCUGUCAAGUCCGAUAUAUUUUUCAAAGUGUUUAUUUCUGCUCACGCAUUCAAUUAUUGAACGACAAAGCUGUCAAGUCUUGUAUAUUUGUCAAGGUGUUUAUUUCUGCUCACCAUUCAAUUAUUCAACGAAAAAGCAGUCAAGUCCGAUAUAUUUGUCGAGGCGAUUAUUUCUCUUCAAUCAUUAAAUUGUUAAAACAAAUUAUCUUUACUGAAUUUUCCGUUUCAUUAAACAGCGACAAAGCUGUCAAAUCCGUUAUAUUUUUCAAGGUGUUUCUUUCUGCUCAACCAUUCAAUUAUUGAACGACAAAGCUGUCAAGUCCGAUAUAUUUUUCAAAGUGUUUAUUUCUGCUCACCCAUUCAAUUAUUGAAGUAAGUAUUCUUUACUAAAUUUCCCGUUUAAUCAAACAGGUAAUCAAAACAAGCCCGAUAUGGGACUCGAACCCAUGGCCCUCAGAUUAAAAGUCUGAUGCUCUACCAACUGAGCUAACCGGGCAG